GAUCUGCUCUGUCCAUCUGGAUCAUUUGCUGCCUAAGCUCCUUAAAGCGGUGUACCUCAUUGUCAUCCACCUCAGACAGAUUCAGGCUAGACUGGAGAAUCUCGGUCAGCGGCAGCUUCUCCACAGCCGGCAUGUCUAAAGAUGGGGACCAGAAGGAGUGAGUUUUUACAUGUAAAUGUAUGCGGCCACAAAGGUCGCGCUGUGCCAUGAGGCAGUUGAGCCACACGCGUCGUCUCCAAGGGAACAGAAGUCACACUGCUGAAGCAGAACCAGGGCAGGAAGCUAUUUUUGAAGCAGGCCAUCCUUUUAUGCAAAGCCACAGAUGACCCGUGUGCGUGCUGUGCAAGCUGAGGGGCCGCUGAGCCACGGCUGUGCGACGCAGGAACUGCAGGAUGUGUGCGAGACCCUGCUGCAGCACUUCCUGGGGUGGGAAUGAGAUGGGACAGUUCCUCAGGCUCAGAGCUCG